GAUGAACGCUGGCGGCGUGCCUAAUACAUGCAAGUCGAGCGAACAGACGAGGAGCUUGCUCCUCUGACGUUAGCGGCGGACGGGUGAGUAACACGUGGAUAACCUACCUAUAAGACUGGGAUAACUUCGGGAAACCGGAGCUAAUACCGGAUAAUAUAUUGAACCGCAUGGUUCAAUAGUGAAAGACGGUUUUGCUGUCACUUAUAGAUGGAUCCGCGCCGCAUUAGCUAGUUGGUAAGGUAACGGCUUACCAAGGCGACGAUGCGUAGCCGACCUGAGAGGGUGAUCGGCCACACUGGAACUGAGACACGGUCCAGACUCCUACGGGAGGCAGCAGUAGGGAAUCUUCCGCAAUGGGCGAAAGCCUGACGGAGCAACGCCGCGUGAGUGAUGAAGGUCUUCGGAUCGUAAAACUCUGUUAUUAGGGAAGAACAAAUGUGUAAGUAACUAUGCACGUCUUGAUGGUACCUAAUCAGAAAGCCACGGCUAACUACGUG
rnacentral:rRNA from 1 species